GACGAACGCUGGCGGCGUGCUUAACACAUGCAAGUCGAACGGUAUGGCCCUUCGGGGUACACGAGUGGCGAACGGGUGAGUAACACGUGGGUGAUCUGCCCUGCACUUCGGGAUAAGCCUGGGAAACUGGGUCUAAUACCGGAUAGGACCACUGCCUGCAUGGGUGGUGGUGGAAAGCCUUUGCGGUGUGGGAUGGGCCCGCGGCCUAUCAGCUUGUUGGUGGGGUGAUGGCCUACCAAGGCGACGACGGGUAGCCGGCCUGAGAGGGUGACCGGCCACACUGGGACUGAGAUACGGCCCAGACUCCUACGGGAGGCAGCAGUGGGGAAUAUUGCACAAUGGGCGCAAGCCUGAUGCAGCGACGCCGCGUGAGGGAUGACGGCCUUCGGGUUGUAAACCUCUUUCAGCACCGACGAAGCGCAAGUGACGGUAGGUGCAGAAGAAGGACCGGCCAACUACGUGCCAGCCGCCGCGGUAAUAC
rnacentral:rRNA from 1 species